rnacentral:rRNA from 1 species
GACGAACGCUGGCGGCGUGCCUAAUACAUGCAAGUAGAACGCUGAAGCUUGGUGCUUGCACCGAGCGGAUGAGUUGCGAACGGGUGAGUAACGCGUAGGUAACCUGCCUGGUAGCGGGGGAUAACUAUUGGAAACGAUAGCUAAUACCGCAUAGGAGUAGAUGUUGCAUGACAUUUGCUUAAAAGGUGCAAUUGCAUCACUACCAGAUGGACCUGCGUUGUAUUAGCUAGUUGGUGAGGUAACGGCUCACCAAGGCAACGAUACAUAGCCGACCUGAGAGGGUGAUCAGCCACACUGGGACUGAGACACGGCCCAGACUCCUACGGGAGGCAGCAGUAGGGAAUCUUCGGCAAUGGACGGAAGUCUGACCGAGCAACGCCGCGUGAGUGAAGAAGGUUGUCGGAUCGUAAAGCUCGGUUGUAAGAGAAGAACGAGUGCGAGAGUGGAAAGUUCACACUGUGACGGUAUCUUACCAGAAAGGGACGGCUAACUACGUG